rnacentral:rRNA from 1 species
UGCCAGCAGCCGCGGUAAUACGAAGGGACCUAGCGUAGUUCGGAAUUAUUGGGUUUAAAGGGUCCGCAGGCUGUUUUUUAAGUCAGAGGUGAAAUCCUGCAGCUCAACUGUAGAAUUGCCUUUGAUACUGAAAGACUUGAGUUAUUGUGAAGUGGUUAGAAUGUGUGGUGUAGCGGUGAAAUGCAUAGAUAUCACACAGAAUACCAAUUGCGAAGGCAGAUCACUAACAAUUAACUGACGCUCAGGGACGAAAGCGUGGGUAGCGAACAGGAUUAGAUA